GCCAGUAUAUACUCGAAACUAAAGGACCAUCAUAAAUCAUUCUCAAUACAUUAUCACUAUCAAAGUACAAACUAAAGUAUCCAGGUGAUAAACUCCCUUUCCUCAAAGGAGGAACUAAUCUAUGAUUCUUGGUAAAUCUUUGAUAAGGCAACAAAGUAUCAGUAGGCAAAUCAAAACUCUGCCACAAAACAUCACCUUUAGGAUUCUUCAAUACUAAGUUUCCUGUUUCAAGAACCUCAGCCUUUUCAACAUCAAAUGAUGUUGUGUUUGUUUGCCAAACAAUUGUAUCAUCAACAUCUGUUAAAACUAAAGCUCCAUUCUUUCUUAAUGUCAACUUUGACCCUUUGAGAUUAACAGGCCUAUCUUGUUUAGCAUUCCAAACAACAGUUUUAUCUCUUGAAUUUGUAUACCAAAUUCCAAAAUAAUAAGCAUUACUAGUACUUUCUAUAGGAUAAAAACCACAAGUGAAUGUUUUUUGUGGAGAAGUAAUGAAAUGUGAAUCAUCUUUAACUGAAAAAGAAUCACCUUUAAGCAAAAUUCUUGAUGAUGUUAUCAAAGGGAAAGACAAAACAAGAAAUGAGAAAACUAAAAAGGGAAAAAGAUAGUAAAGUUUCAAACUUUUCAUGGUUUCAAGAAUUUGGAUAAAAUCAUAAAUGUUGAAAGUUGAUGAAGGGAAAGAAGUAAUGGGGUUGCUUUAUACUGUAUAGAUAUUUUUUUUUUUAAGAUUUAGAAACAUUAGUCAAACAUCUAAAAUUGGUUCAAGAAAAAAAUAAAAAGAAACAUCCCCGUUGGUUCAAAUUGAAAUGAUUUAUUAGCAAGUGGGAAUUUAAGAAUGACAAUGAUUUGAGGACAUGUUUUUGCUCUUUUCUUUUUUUAAGUUGGUAUUUUGUUGGUUUAUUUUUACUCGUUCACUAUACUCAGUUCCUAAUCCAUACCUAACUUUAAUCAAUUCUUAUUACAUUAAUUCAAUUAUUUUAUUUAUUAUUCUAUAAAUAUAUACUCCCUGCGUUUCACAAAGAAUGACCUCCUUUCCUUUUUAGUCAGUUUAAAAAAGAAUGACCUAUUUUCUUUUUUGGUAACAUUUUACUUUUUGCUUUCCACGUGGCAUGUUUAAGACCACAAGAUUAAGGGCAAUUUUGUACAUUUGACGUAACUUUAAUUUUGGACCACAAGAUUCAAACUUAUUUAUUUACUUAAACUUUGUGCCAAGUUAAACCAGGUCAUUUUUUGUGAAACGGUGGGAGUAUUAAGCUAAUACUGAACAAAUAAAAUGAACUGACAAUAUAUAAAUAGGCAUAUGUUUGUUUGACAUUGAGGCGGCUGACAAAAAUGGUUAUCAUUAUUAGGCUUGGUUAUUGAUGGAAGAAUUAAACUAUAUUAAAAAGAAUGAAUUAAAAAUUGGUUUAAUGAUAUAACGUGUGGAAGUAAGUUUAAAGAUCAUGAUCCAAAUUUCAAAGAUGACAAAAAAAAAAAAAAAAAAAAAACCAUAUCAUUUAAACAUCACAUUAAUAUAAAAAGAUGAAAGCAAAAAGAAUUAGUAAUUUCUUCUGACCCUUUUUUGAAUUAUUUAGAAUUAAUUUUUUUAAAAAGAAUUAGAAGUAUUCUCCCAAAUACGCAUCACGCAUGACACAUACGGAUAGGAAUAUAAAUUCAGGGACGGAUUCAAUAUUUCAGUAUGAGUUCAUAUAUUUUUGACGUAGAAUAAAAAUUUAUGUAUAAUCAGUAGACGUAGAAUAAAAAUUUAUAUAUUUAAAAUAUACCAAAAUUAUAAUAAAUACAAAUUAAUAUGAAUUCAUAUUUUCAAUGUUUCAUCUACCUCCCUUGUACAACAACCUCAAGAGUAAUGGUGACCAAUUCAUAGUAUUCUAUUUCAAUAUUCCUUAAAGACAAAUAACUUUUUGAAGAUAAUAUUAAUAAAAUAAUAAUUAAUUAAAAGAGCAUGAUUUUAGAGAGGACAAAUCAAUCCAGAUAUAUAUUAUUUUUUUAUUAAAAAUAAAUAAAAUAAAAUAUAAGAGUUGUAGUCGUAAUAUUGCAAAUGUGAAAAAAGAUCUGUAAAACAAACAAAACGUAAAGAAAGGUCUUUGAAUUUUUUUCUAAACUUUAAAUUUUGAAUUUGCUCAAAUAUAACUGGACUUAAUUGGGGGUAGUUGCAUUUGCAUGCCUUCUCACGAAGGACUUGUAAAUUAAUUUGUCAAAAGUCAUUAGUGGUCUUUUAUUAAAAAAAAAAUUCCAGUCUAUCUUUACCUUAGAAGAAGGGAACCUAAGAAACAAUUCAUUGACUCAUAGACCAAAAUUGGGAUCUUAAUAUCACAGUUGAAUUGUCUUCAUUAGAUUAAAAAAUAAGUUAAAAUGUGAAAAGUGUUUAUAUAGCAAUUUAAAUCAGUCAAAAAAUUAUAUGUCAGUACAUUGAAAGGUUAUAUUUUUAGCUAUCGAGACUUUUCUGUUAUAUUGAUGAGAAAAUUGUGAUUAAGUGACCAUUUAUGACAGUACUUAGGAUUGAUACUAGAUUUAUAAAGAACAAUUCUUUGAAGUAAUAUGAAUUAUCUAAAAAAGUAAAUAUAAGGCAAUGCUUGCCACGAAAUAUAUUGCUCUUGAAGUUCUCAUGAUAAGGCCAAUGCACCAUCAAUUAGUGUGGUGGCGAACAUGAUACACUCUAGAUUCUAUCUUGUAAACAGGAAAGAUAUAGAAAAUAUAUAGUGCUAGAUUCAUAAGAUUCUAUAAUCAACAGCAUCAAUAUAUAUUAUUUUACUUAGCUCGUCUCUUCCAUGACAUUCCAAACCAAACAACCUUAUAUUCAAGGAUUCCUACAGAUAACAUUCACCAUUACCCCAUCUUUUUUAUCUCUAACUAUCACUAUCGCCCACUAUAAUCAACUAUUAUCGCUCAUUACCUACGACCACUGUCCUCAUUCAUAACCACCACUGUCGUCAAUUACCACAACUAGUCAUCACCAUUAACCAUUAUAUUCGAUUGUUACCAUCAAUAACUAUUACUAUAAUAAUCAGCCAUUACUAUGUAACAACAAUCACCACUAUCAACCAUCACUAUAUAUUGACAAAUAUCGAUAUUAACCACUAUCACUAUGAUCAACCACAAUUAUCAAGUGCCACAACCAACUACCAUCAUUAACCACCACCUAUAAAAAGAAUUUGUGAAAGCAAGAAAAAUGGUGACUCAACUAGGCCUAUUUUUGAAUUAUUAUAUGGUAUAAAAGAAUAUAUUCGAAGUCUUCUCAUAUAAACUCAUGAUACAAGUGGGGAAUGGAUUAGAAUUGGAAUAAUUGAGAGAGAUAGUUGCAUUUGCCUUCCCACGGAGAACUUGUCAAAAGUCACUCACUAUUGGUUUUUUAUAUUGGUUUUGUUUUUCAAGUCUUUAUCUUUACCUUAGAAAAAGGGCACCCACCGGAAUAUAUUUUCAGUUUCCACAAGGCUAGUUUACUUAAUUCCUCCAUUCAUCUUUACUUGUUCAGUAUACUAAAAGUACUUAUCCGAGAGUAUUCAUUUUACAACAUUUAGAUGAACUGUAAUUAUUAAUUUCAUCUGACCCUUUUUUGAAUUAUUUGGAAUUAAUUUUUUUUAAAGAAUUAAAAGUCUUCUCCCAAAUACGCAUCACGCAUGACACACACGUAUAGGAAUAUAAAUUCAGAAACGGAUUCAAUAUUUCAGUAUGAGUUCAUAUAUUUUUUGACGUAGAAUAAAAAAUUUAUAUAUUUUAAAAAUAUACCCAAAAAUUAUAAUAAAUACAAAUUAAUAUGAAUUCAUAUCUUCAAUGUUUCAUGUACCUCCCUUGUACAACAACCUCAAGAGUAAUGGUGAACAAUUCAUAGUAUUCUAUUUCAAUAUUCCUUAAAGAUAAAUAACUUUUUGAAGAUAAUAUUAAUAAAAUAAUAAUUAAUUAAAAGAGCAUGAUUUUAGAGAGGACAAAUCAAUCCAGAUAUAUAUAUUUUUUUAAUUAAAAAUAAAUAAAAUAAACUAUAAGAGUUGUAGUCGUAAUAUUGCAAAUGUGAAAAAAGAUCUGUAAAACAAACAAAAUGUAAAGAAAGGUCUUUAAAUUUUUUUAUAAACUUUAAAUUUUGAAUCUGCUCAAAUAUAACUGGACUUAAUUUUGGGUAAUUGCAUUUGCAUGCCUUCUCACGAAGGACUUGUAAAUUAAUUUGUCAAAAGUCAUUAGUGGUCUUUUAUUAAUUUUUUUUCCAGACUAUCUUUAUCUUAGAAGAAGGGAACCCACGGGAUAUUUCAGUUUAUUAAUUGUCAUGUAUCAAAAAUUCCAAAGAGACAAUUCAUUGACUCAUAGACCAAAAUUGGGAUCUUAAUAUCACAGUUGAAUUAUCUUCUUUAGAUUAAAAAAUAAGUUAAAAUGUGAAAAGUGUUUAUAUAGCAAUUUAAAUCAGUCAAAAAAUCAGAUGUCAGUACAUUGAAAGGUUAUAUUUUUAGCUAUUGAGACUUUUUUGUUAUAUUGAUGAGAAAAUUGUGAUUAAGUGACCAUUUAUGACAUUACUUAGGAUUGAUACUAGAUUUAUAAAGAACAACUAGGUAACUUGGCCGCGCUACGCGCGGUCAUAAAAUAUUAUAUCAAAAAUAUAAAUUAAUUUUUUGAUAUUAUUUGAAUAUAAAAGAGCUAUUAGUUCAAAAUUAAUUAAAUAGAUUAAAAUUUAAAUUUGAAUUCAUCUUAUUAUUCACACUGAACUAAUUUCUAACAAAUAAAAUAUACUAUUACAUGAAAGAAGGAAAAGUCCUUUUUUUAUUUUUCGUUAAAUAUAAAUUGAUUAAAGAUAAACAAAGAUCACUAAAAAGAUUAUUUGAGAAAAAGAGAAGAAAAUAGUUUAUCCAUAACAAAGUGAAAAUAACUGUAUUUAUAUGCCAGAAAUUAUAACGUAUACAGAUUUUAAAAGUAGAGUUUAGAAAAUAAAAUAAAAAACAAAACUAAUCAUUUUUUGUAAUUUACACACAGUAUAUAUGUAAUAAUUAGCUUACUUGUAUAUAUAAUAUGUAAUUUCGUGAAACAUCGUAGAUUGAAGACAGAGAAUUGAUUUUUAAAUUAUAUACUUUUUAAUUUUUUUCUUCACUUAUACUUUAAAAAAAUAUACUUAAUAACAUAAAGUUUAUAAUGUGAAAAUAAUAAUAAUAAAAAGACUAAAUCAACCGGUAAUUAUAUGAUAGUUGAAAUAUAUUGUAAAAUUUAUAAAAAUAAUUUGAUAAAUAGAAAUUGUGAUGUCUAAAACAAAAAAUGAACAUACAUAAAUUAUAUUAAAUUUAAAUUGCUAAGUAUAGUUCAAUUGUCUAGCUAAUUAUAUUUUUAUAGACAUGAAGGUGACAUUUGGAUAAUCAAAAUGUUAUAAUAAUUUUGGUCACUUCACAGAUAAUUAAGAGAUUGUUUUAACUUUUUUAUAUUUUUUACACUUUCUUACAUUACAUACUCCCCUCAUUUCAAAAUAAAUAUUUAUUUUUUAUUUUUUAUUUUGCUUUGAAUCGUGUUUUACAUAAUCAUGAAGACUUUGAUGAUGUUUUUUUUUUCAAUUUUAUCCUUAUUUAAUCAAAAGAAAUUUAUAUAACCAAAAACAUGGGUCAAAGAACUAUAUAUAUUAAAGUUAAUUUAGUAAAAAUAUCUUACUGUAUAGUCCCGCCCCAAACUAAAAAACAAAGUUGACAUACUACGAAAAGGUGAAUAUCAUGGAAUUGAAGAGUACAUAACAAAAUGAAAUUGAAUUACACUAACUUAUGUCUUAGUAGUUAUGUGAGGAAGACUUCAAGAAAAAUUAAGGAAAACACUAUUUCAAAUAUGAAAUAAAAAAGAUAAUCUCAAGUAGGGGUUUCAUGAAAUAAAUAAUUAUGAACUUAUAUAAACAAAAUUGUGGAAUUUUUAAAGAAAAAAUAUAAAUAGUUCUAUCUGCAAUAGUAUUUUUAAACCUUUGUUAGUAGUUAGUAUUAUUACACAUAAAGUUACAAUAACUAAUUUGCAUCUAAACCAAAAACAUACUUGCAAUAAUAAAAAAUUAUAAAAAUUCAAACUAAAGAAGUUACAUGGAGAAUAAAAGCAUACACAUCUUCCUUGGAACCUUAUCAUAAGAAAAUAGAUAAAAAUAAGAAUACAAAAUCAAUGCCCACUUUUUUGAUCUCUUGUCCGACACCCUCUUUGACAAACUAAUCAACAUUCAAGAGUCUUCUUCAUCGUGUCAAGUUAAAGCAUGAAAUGGAUAAAUAUAAUAAAUACUACAAAGAACAAUGAAAUAUAAAGAAUAAUCUUGAGUUGGAAUUUCAUGAAACAAAAAACUUGUGAAUGUAUAUUGAUAAAAAAAUAGAGAGAUAUCAUAAAGUAUCUUAAAUUUUAUAAUUUAAUAGUUGGGGGCUAUGAAUAUGAAAACUUAAAAGUCAUGGAAUUAAUGAUAUUAUUAAAAAUUGAAGUUUAAUAGAUUUAUGUUACGGAGGUAAAACUUAAAAAUUAAAUAAAAAAGAAAAAACACAAAUAAAGUGCAUAAAAGAAAUACAUUUAUAUUAUAUAAAAAUAUUAUUUUUUUGAAUUGAAUAAAUAAAAAUAAAAAUAAAAAAGAGAAAAGAAAGGAAAAAAAUCAUAAAAUUUAACUAUCGUGAAUAGUUUGUUGGAAUUAUUUUUAAAUCAAAUAUGGCUAUUGAUGAAAAUAUAAGUAAAUAUGAUUAGUUUUAAUGGUCUUUUAUGUUUUAGGUGAUUUUUUUGGUAUUUUAAAAUUAGAUAAAAGGCCAAAAAAGAUAAAUUCAAUUGAAACCCUUAGAGAGGGUCAUGUCACCGUUUUUAUAUUCAGCUUUACUAUUAUAUAUAAAUUUGUAAUAAUUAAAUAUUUCACUUUUGCAGUAAAAUAUUAGUUUAAAUAAAAGGAAAAAGACAAAUACAAAUAAAUGUAUUAGAGAAAUGCCACAUAUUAUACAAAGAAAAGACAAAGAAAACAUACCUUUACAAUGAAUUAUGGAUACAUAUCAUGAAAAAUAUUCUGGAUACAUAUUUAGAAAAUAUAUUUUUCAUGUAAUUAAAUACACAUAUUUAUGCAAUUUAUAUAUGGAACAUAUUCAUCUUACCUUUUUCUAUUCAUUUGCUUUUUUUUGAACGUCCAAAUUUAAAAUCAUAAAUCUCUAUUUAUAGAACCUGUAAAAGAACAAAAUUUAUGUUAGCAUAUUUUUAUAAAAUCUUUACAAAUAAAAAUGUAAACAAAUGAAGGAUGAAGAAUAAUGAUUUAAAAAACCAUGUGAAAGUAGUUACAAAAGAAAAAAUAUAUGUUUAAAUGAGUAAGGAAAAUGACUAAAAGAAGGCAGAGGAUGAAAGUAAAACAAAAAUACAGUAAAAUGAAGCUUUCAGUAGUAUUAGUUUUUAUGGACUUGAAAUAACAAUAAAUUUGUAAUUAAAGCUAAGAAAUUAAUUAGAAUUUGACUUUUAAUAUGACCACGUUUUAGGAGACGUUUUAAAACGGUAGUACCAUUUAUCUUGUGUAUUUAAUAUUUUUUUUUGACAAUUUUUUAAUAAAAAUGAAGAAAAAAAUGCUAAGAAAAUUAAAAAAUCUGAGAAGAUAGAUAAAUUCCUGAUCAAUGAGGCAUGCCACAUCAGCGGACUUAUGUUCCUCCUUUAUAUAUAUAUAUAUUGAUUCUUUAAAGUAAUAUGAAUUAUCUAAAAAAGUAAAUAUAAGGCAAUGCUUGCCACAAAAUAUAUUGCUCUUGAAGUUCUCAUGAUAAGGCCAAUGCACCAUCAAUUAGUGUGGUGGCGAACAUGAUACACUCUAGAUUCUAUCUUGUAAACAGGAAAGAUAUAGAAAAUAUAUCGUGCUAGAUUCAUAAGAUUCUAUAAUCAAUAGCAUCAAUAUAUAUUAUUUUACUUAGCUUGUCUCUUCCAUGACUUUCCGAAUCAAACAACCCCAAUCAACCUUAUAUUCAAGGAUUUCGAAAGAUAACAUUCACCAUUACCCCAUCUUUUUAUAUCUCUAACUAUCACUAUCGCCCACUAUAAUCAACUAUUAUCGCUCAUUACCUACGACCACCGUCCUCAUUCAUAACCACCACUGUCGUCAAUUACCACAACUAGUCGUCACCAUUAGCCAUUAUAUUCGAUUGUUACCGUCAAUAACUAUUACUAUAAUAAUCAGCCAUCACUAUGUAACAACAAUCACCACUAUCAACUAUCACUAUAUAUUGACAAAUAUCGCUAUUAAUCACUAUCACUAUGAUCAACCACAACUAUCAAGUGCCACAACCAACUACCAUCAUUAACCACCACCUAUAAAAAGAAUUUGUGAAAGCAAGAAAAAUGGUGACUCAACUAGGCCUAUUUUUGAAUUAUUAUAUGGUAUAAAAGAAUAUAUUCGAAGUCUUCUCAUAUAAACUCAUGAUACAAGUGGGGAAUGGAUUAGAAUUGGAAUAAUUGAGAGAGAUAGUUGCAUUUGCCUUACCAUGGACAACUUGUCAAAAGUCACUCACUAUUGGUUUUUAUCUUUACCUUAGAAAAAGGGAACUCACUGAAAUAUAUUUCCAGUUUCCACAAGGCCAGUUUACUUCCUCCGUUCAUCUCUACUUGUUCAGUAUACUAAAAAUAUUUAUCCGAGAGUAUUCAUUUUUCAACAUUUAGAUGAAUUGUAAUUGAUAGGGAUAAUGCAGUAAAAUUACCCUAUAAUUUAUUGUUUUCUAAAGGUGUGCCAAAUCAAACAUGUAAUGGAACAUGUAAAGAUGGACGGAGGAAAUAUUUAUUUCCUUUAAGUUAUUGUCAUGUACCUAAACUUCUAAGGUACAAUCCAUUGACUCAAAGACCAAAGUUGGAUUCUUAAUAUCAUAGUUGAAUAGUAAUUAAGUCAUGUUCCUUUUUAUAUGAGUCUUAACUACUUCUAUAUUAAUUAACUAUGCAAAGACUCGUGCAUAUCAUUUUCAAGAAAACAAAGAGAAUCAAAAAGGAAAUGACCUUGCACACACGCAUUCUUAGUGGUCCUUGAACCGGCAUAUAAUAUGGAGAAAUAAAUACAUAAAGAAUUUGAAGGAAUUAAAUAUAUAUAAUAACAAUAACAACGCAGUGUAAUCCAUGAGUGGGGUCUGAAACACAGAUCUUACACUAUCUUUACGAGUAGAGGGGUUGUUUCCGAUAGAACUUCCGCUUAAAAGAGAAGUUAUUGAUAGAAAAGUCACAUGAUUUCUAAAUACUACUACUAGGAGUCGGAGAAGAGGAUACGGGGCAAUCCCCUUGCUUCUCCCACCUAACGAGCGACCACACUUUAUCACUUACUAACCUUCUACAGUAAUUCUCGACCUCCAUAUCUUCAUAUUUAUGGUCAUAUACUUAGUAAGUUGAAGCUGUGUCAUGUCAUGUCACCUCCUCCUGUUCUUUUUUAGCCUACAUCUACCUCUCCUAAACCUUACUGCUACAACCAACCUUCCACUCUUCCUAACUAAUGGAUUCGCGUACCUCCUCCUCAACACUCUUGUCUCAUACGACACUAGUCUAACAACUACUCUGUUGAACUUACCCUUAGAUAUAUAUAAAGUCUUCCGACAAAUAAGGUUUGGAUGAAUCCUUUGCGCUCCUAAUUCAGCUCAUGCUCUCUAUACGGAGAAAAUAAUGGAACAUAAUAAUAAAUUAGGACCUACAUCUAGGGGAGGGGGGGGGGGUAUUUUAUUAGCANNNNNNNNNNNNNNNNNNNNNNNNNNNNNNNNNNNNNNNNNNNNNNNNNNNNNNNNNNNNNNNNNNNNNNNNNNNNNNNNNNNNNNNNNNNNNNNNNNNNNNNNNNNNNNNNNNNNNNNNNNNNNNNNNGGGGGGUAUUUUAUUAGCAGCCCCCAGGCAAAACUUAGUCUCUUAGAGACCGUUUAAUUUGUGGACUGCAAAUUAUAAUACAAGAACUAUAAUUUGGUAUAUAAGAAUCACAGUGUGCUUUUAUUUCAUCAGAUGUAAAAAUCUGAACAUAUAAUGCAUAGUUUAAAGCAUGUCGUCCGACACAAAUUAGAAUAUUUUCUGUGCCUUUUAUCACAUCACUCAAUCUAUUUCAUGGAGAACUUGUAAAUUAAUUUGUCAAAAGUCAUUUAUUAAUUUAUUUUUUUUCAGCCUAUCUUUACCUUGGAAGAAGGGAACCUACAGGAUAUUUCCAGUUUAUUUAAUUCCCAGUAAUUUUCAUGUACUAAAAAUUCCAAAGAGAUAAUUAAUUGACUCAGAGACCAAAAUUAGAAUCUUAAUACCACAGUUGAAUUGUCUUCAUUAGAUUAAAAAAGAAGUUAAAAUGUGGAAAGUAUUCAUAUAGCAAUUUAAAUCAGCCAAAUAUAUAUAUGUGUGUGUUAGUACAUUGGAAGGUUAUAUUUUUAGCUAUUGAGACUUUUCUUUUAUAUGGAUGAGAGAACUGUGAUUUAGUGACCAUAUAUAAAAAUUAUUUAGGAAUGAUACUCGUUUUAUAAAGAAAGAUUCUUUUGCAGUUAUAUGAAUUAUCUAAAAGAGUAAAUACCAGGCAAUACUUGUCACGAAAUAUAUCGCUCUUCAAAUUCUCAUGAUAAGGCCAAUGCACCAUCAAUCAGUGUGGUGGCAAACACGAUAUACUCUGCAUUAAGUUGUUUAUCUUAUAAACGGGGAAGAUAUAGAAAAUAUUUCGUGCUUGAUUCAUAAGAUGCAUAAUACAUAAACAUGACAUUUAUCUUAACGUCAAUUGACAACUAUGACCUUUAACUUUGGGUCUAUACAAAUAGACACUUAAACUUGUAUAAAAUUUAGAAAAUGGACACAUUCGUCCUACAUGGCAUCUACAUGACAAUUUUAUAUCCUACAUGGCAUCCUAUGUGUAUUAUGCCAUGUAGGACACUUGUGUCUACUUGUUCAAUUUUAUACAAGUGCCUACUUGUGCACAUUCAAAGUUGGAGGGCAUAGUUGUUCGUUGAAGCCAACUUAAGGGUCAUAAUUAUGUAUUAUGCCUUCAUAAAACUUCAUAUUCAAUAGUAUCGGUAUAUUAUUUUGCUUAACUUGUCUCUUUCGUGACUUUGCAAACCAACCAACCAAACUUUAAUCUACCUUGAAUAUCAAGGAUUCUUAAAGAUGACAUUAACCAUUACUCCAUCCUUUUUCAUCUCUAACUAUUACUAACGCUCACCAUUAUUAACUAUUAUCAUUCAUUACCUACCACACCGUCCUCAUUCAUAACCACCACUAUCGUCAAUUACCACAUUAGUCAUUAUAUUCGAUCGUUACCGUCAACAACUAUUAUUAUAAUAACCAUCCAUCACUAUAUACUGACAAUCACUAUAUAUCGACAGUCAUCGCUAUCAAUCACCACUAUUAAUUAUCACUAUCGCCAACCACAAUUAUCAAUCAUCACAAUGAAUUACCAUAAUCAACCACCAUCAUUAACCACUACCUAUAAAAAGAAAUUGGGAAAGCAAGUAAAAUGGCGACUCAACUAGGCCUAUUUUUGAAUUAUAUGGUAUAAAAAGAAUAUAUUCAAAGUCUUCUCAUGUAAACUCAUGAUACAAGUGGGGAAUAGAUUAGAAUUGGAAUAAUUGAGAGAGAGUUGCAUUUGCCUUCCCAUGGAGAACUUUUCAAAAGUCACUCACUAUUGGUCUUUUAUAUUGGUUUUGUCUAUCAUUACCUUAGAAAAAGGCACCCACUGAAAUAUAUUUCCAGUUUCCACAAGGCUAGUUACUUCCUCCGUUCAUCUUUACUUGUUUAGUAUACUAAAAGUACUUACGAGAGUAUUCAUUUUACAACAUUUAGAUGAACUAUAAUUGAUAGGGAUAACGUGGUAAAAUUACCCUAUAAUUUAUUGUAUUCUAAAGGUGAACCAAAUCAAGCAUGUAAUGAACAAGUAAAGACGGACAACAUGAAUAUUUAUUUCCUUUUAAGUUAUUGUCAUGUACCUAAACUUCUAAGGUACAAUCCAUUGACUCAAAGACCAAUAUUGGAUUCUUAAUAUCACAGUUGAAUAGUAAUUAUUAAUUAAGGCAUGUUCCUUUUUAUAUGAGUCUUAAUUAACUACUUCUAUAUUAAUUAACUAUGCAAAAGAGGUCGUCCUUUUUACACCAAAAGAAUAGAAAAAAGACUGGUGCAUAUCAUUUUCAAGACAACAAAGAGAAUAAAAAAGGAAAUGACCUUGCACACACGCAUUCGUUGCAGUGGCGGACUCAGGAUUUUCGUUUAGGGGGUUCGAAAAAUAAAAGUAUAAACGUGUAAAUAAGCCAACAAAAAAAAUUUCAAGGAAGUAGUAGUAUAUAGUUUAUAGGUACAAAAAGUUAGUUUCGUUACAAGAAAUCUGAAACUAACAUAAGUGAUUACAGUGAAACAAAAAGUUAGCCCUUUAAAAUAUGUCAAAUCAACAAUAGAAUAUUAUGGGAGAUGAUUUUAAUAUUUGAGUUUUGAGUGUUGGGGAAGAACAAGAAAGUGAUUUAGAGAUUUGGAAAGUGAAAAAGUUAUUAGCUUUUAGGAAUGGGAGUAUGGGACCCUUGAAUUUUUUGGGUUUAACACCACAUUUUAGCACUUUUUAUUAAAAAAAAACAUGAAAAUCGGAACUGAAACUAAAAAAAAUAAAAUAAACUGAAAGUAAAAAACUAAAAAAUAAAACACUAACCCAGGGAUUCGAUCCCGGGACGUCAGGCUUAAUAUUGAAGGGAUCUGCCACUAGGCUAUCUCCUUCACCUUGUCAUUGAGGGGGUUCAAAAUAUAUAUAUCCACCUAAAUCCAGAAAAUUCACCUUAUAUAUAUAGUAUAAUUUUUUAUCGAGGGGGUUCGGGUGAACCCCUGGACAACACGUGGGUCCGCCCCUGAUUCGUAGUGGUCCUUGGACCGGAAUAUAAAGAAAUAAAAACAUAAAGAUUUCGUGAGGACUAUAUCAAAAGCAUACGCAAAAAGAGAGGUAUCAUAUGUUUUUGCAUCAGCAACAAUACAUAAGAAAGUUCAAUAACUCAUCUCGAAACAAGAUCUAUAAUUCAUACAGACAUAACUUUACUAUAAUCUCCUUUAGUUUACAUUGAUUAAAAAAAAAAGAUGCAGAAUGGAAGGAAUUAAAGGUAUGAAAUAGUAGGCAUUUUUUUGGUUUGUGAUCAUGGCUAAAUGAUAUUACUCCACUAGUUAUAUAUAAGGACAGUAAUUUAAUUUAUAAUACUCCAAUGUUGCAUAAGAAGGAAACAUGCAAAACAUUAAUGAAGAAUAUUUAAUUGAGAUUUCACAUUAUUAGUCCCAAGCCCGAAUAAAGGAGGAUGUUCUUUGUGUAUUUUCAGUCCUUUUGUUAAAUUUUCUUAGUUAAAGAUGAAGGAUUUCCAUCACAUAAUUAGCUAGUAUGAUCAAGAUUGCAGAAGUUAAUGCGUGGAUAUUAAGAGAAUUAUAAUAGUUUGAUAGUCAAAGAUGAAAAAACAAAAUGGUUUAUUCAAUUUCCAUUCACAAAUUCCAAUCAGUGUUUACAUUUAGAAAGGGAAAUUCCUAUGUUAUUUGUGUUGUUUCAUCUUCACAAUCCAGCAAUGUUUGGACUACUGAGGCCAUUGUAGGCCUUUUGUUUCUGUCCUGCUCAACACAAGAAAUGCCUAUUUCAAUCAGUGUCACUGCCUGGUUCUUGCUAAAUUUGCCUUCUAGUCGUUGAUCGACAAGUUUCUCCACCCAAGAAUCUUCUCCACUUUGAAUCUUUCUCUUCACCAUCCUGACAAAUUUUCCGAGCUGUGAAUCUUGUUCAUGAUCACAUUCACUAUCAUCCACCACCCAACUUGACAGCCUACUUCCUUUGAUCAUUUCUAGUAUUACAAUCCCAAAGGCAUAAACAUCAACUUUUGCUGUUAUAGGUUGGUUCAAAGCCCAUUCAGGAGCCAUGUAGCCUUUAGUACCGCGAAUCUUGGAGAAAUCUGAACCAGGGCCGCCUCUUUGGGACAGCUUUGCAAGUCCAAAAUCUGCAAUCUUGGGCUCGAAUUCACUAUCGAGAAGUAUAUUUUCAGGCUUAACAUCACAAUGAAUCACCCAUUCAAGACAUUCAUGAUGAAGAUAUGCCAGACCUUUGGCUGUCCCUAGUGCCACUGCAAACCUUUGUUUCCAUUCAAGAAUAUCAGCCCUGGAAAGAUGCCUGUCUAGUGAUGAGUUCUCGACGUAUUCAUAGACCAAAAGCUGACGUCUACCUUCAGAACAAAAUCCCCACAUCCUCACCAAAUGCAUAUGGUUGAUUCUUCCUAUGGUAGUCAUCUCUGCCCAAAAUUCUUCUUGUAACUCAUUUGCAAGUUUCUUGACUGCUACAGCUCUUCCGUCUGCUAAAACUCCUUUAUAAACAGCUCCUGAACCUCCUCUUCCUAGCUCAACCUUGAAGUUUUUUGUUGCUUUCUUAAGUUCAGUAUACGUAAACCUCCUGAAUUGAGUCGAUGACACCAUUUUAUAUCCAUACUCAAUGGAAGCAGGAAUCCCAUGUUUACUAAACAACGCCCACCAGCCUAACACGAAGAACAGAAUCUCUAUUCCACCAAGGGUGAAACAAAACACGUAAAGAUAAAUCCACUUCACCUUCUUAAAAUCCAAUACAUACAUAGAAAGAGAACCAAAAAGAGAGUUUUCAGGACUCAAUCCACAUUUUGCAUCAGUACCUUCAAGCAUCAAAUGACCUGAUUCUGAUGCACUUAGAUUCAUAGGGAGUUUCAAGAAUACACUUCCAGGGAAACUAGGAGACCUGUAUCCAUUAAAAAGGAUGCCUUUAGUAUAGCAUGAUCCCACACCAGUUAACCUAUAAACAAAUGCACGACAACGUGGAUCGUCCAAGCACAAUGCCCUACAAGAUUCAAAUGACAAAGGAGUAGUGGCAUUGAGAUCAAAACCCCAAUAAUCAGCAUUAGGAAUCUCCACAAACUUUACAUGUUGUUUAGACUCCAAACUUGAUCUAAACAUUGGCCUACAACCUCUACUCCAAUCACUUCCAUUAACAAUCUCAUAUCCAGGAGGACAUGUACAUUUAGGCUUCGAUACAUAAGUACAUAUCGAAAAUCUUCCACACAUUCCAUGCACAGCACAAGGUUGUGCAAUAGCUUGCCACGACAUCUUCCACAACCCUGUCAAGUUAUCCAAACUAUACAUCCUCAAAUUACCAUCAGUAUCUAUAGUCAAUCUUCUCAAUAUCCCAAGCCCCAUAUCAGAAACAUUGAAUUGCAACAUAUCACUUGAGAAAAAUCUACCCAUUCCAUCAAAAUGUGCAACUACAGUAUCCACCUGACUAGUUCUACCAUUCUGGGGCGCACUCCUUUCGCGAUUAGGCCAGUAUAUACUCGAAACUAAAGGACCAUUAUAAAUCAUUCUCAAUACAUUAUCAUUAUCAAAGUACAAACUAAAGUAUCCAGGUGAUAAACUCCCUUUCCUCAAAGGAGGAACUAAUCUAUGAUUCUUGGUAAAUCUUUGAUCAGGCAAUAAAGUAUCAGUAGGCAAAUCAAAACUCUGCCACAAAACAUCACCUUUAGGAUUCUUCAAUACUAAGUUUCCUG
rnacentral:lncRNA from 1 species